rnacentral:rRNA from 1 species
GAUGAACGCUGGCGGCGUGCCUAAUACAUGCAAGUCGAGCGAACAGAUGAGGAGCUUGCUCCUCUGACGUUAGCGGCGGACGGGUGAGUAACACGUGGAUAACCUACCUAUAAGACUGGGAUAACUUCGGGAAACCGGAGCUAAUACCGGAUAAUAUAUUGAACCGCAUGGUUCAAUAGUGAAAGACGGUUUUGCUGUCACUUAUAGAUGGAUCCGCGCCGCAUUAGCUAGUUGGUAAGGUAACGGCUUACCAAGGCAACGAUGCGUAGCCGACCUGAGAGGGUGAUCGGCCACACGGGAACUGAGACACGGUCCAGACUCCUACGGGAGGCAGCAGUAGGGAAUCUUCCGCAAUGGGCGAAAGCCUGACGGAGCAACGCCGCGUGAGUGAUGAAGGUCUUCGGAUCGUAAAACUCUGUUAUUAGGGAAGAACAAAUGUGUAAGUAACUAUGCAAGUCUUGACGGUACCUAAUCAGAAAGCCACGGCUAACUACGU